rnacentral:rRNA from 1 species
UACAGGGGGGGCGAGCGUUAUUUAUCGCGAUUGGGCGUAAAGGGUACGUAGGUGGUUCCAUAAGUUUCUUCAUAAAUCCUGGAAAAUUUAAACUUACAGAUCUUGAGGAAACAUGUGUCGGAACUUGAGUAUAUUGGUCGUUGUUAGAAUUUUCGGAGGAGAGCUGAAAUUCUAAGAAACCCUAGGGAAUACUGUACGUGAAAGUGUAUGGCGCCAAAAUACUGACGCUGAGGUACGAAGGCAUUGGUAG